AUGAACGCUAGCUACAGGCUUAACACAUGCAAGUCGAGGGGCAGCAUGAACUUAGCUUGCUAAGUUUGAUGGCGACCGGCGCACGGGUGAGUAACACGUAUCCAACCUGCCGAUGACUCGGGGAUAGCCUUUCGAAAGAAAGAUUAAUACCCGAUGGCAUAGUUCUUCCGCAUGGUAGAACUAUUAAAGAAUUUCGGUCAUCGAUGGGGAUGCGUUCCAUUAGGUUGUUGGCGGGGUAACGGCCCACCAAGCCUUCGAUGGAUAGGGGUUCUGAGAGGAAGGUCCCCCACAUUGGAACUGAGACACGGUCCAAACUCCUACGGGAGGCAGCAGUGAGGAAUAUUGGUCAAUGGACGAGAGUCUGAACCAGCCAAGUAGCGUGAAGGAUGACUGCCCUAUGGGUUGUAAACUUCUUUUAUACGGGAAUAAAGUGAGGCACGUGUGCCUUUUUGUAUGUACCGUAUGAAUAAGGAUCGGCUAACUCCGUGCCAGCAGCCGCGGUAAUACGGAGGAUCCGAGCGUUAUCCGGAUUUAUUGGGUUUAAAGGGAGCGUAGGCGGACGCUUAAGUCAGUUGUGAAAGUUUGCGGCUCAACCGUAAAAUUGCAGUUGAUACUGGGUGUCUUGAGUACAGUAGAGGCAGGCGGAAUUCGUGGUGUAGCGGUGAAAUGCUUAGAUAUCACGAAGAACUCCGAUUGCGAAGGCAGCCUGCUGGACUGUAACUGACGCUGAUGCUCGAAAGUGUGGGUAUCAAACAGGAUUAGAUACCCUGGUAGUCCACACAGUAAACGAUGAAUACUCGCUGUUUGCGAUAUACAGUAAGCGGCCAAGCGAAAGCGUUAAGUAUUCCACCUGGGGAGUACGCCGGCAACGGUGAAACUCAAAGGAAUUGACGGGGGCCCGCACAAGCGGAGGAACAUGUGGUUUAAUUCGAUGAUACGCGAGGAACCUUACCCGGGCUUGAAUUGCAACUGAAUGAUGUGGAGACAUGUCAGCCGCAAGGCAGUUGUGAAGGUGCUGCAUGGUUGUCGUCAGCUCGUGUCGUGAGAUGUUGGGUUAAGUCCCGCAACGAGCACAACCCCUGUUUCUAGUUGCCAGCACGUAAAGGUGGGAACUCUAGAGAGACUGCCGGUGAUAAAUCGGAGGAAGGUGGGGAUGACGUCAAAUCAUCAUGCCCUUUAUGUCUUGGGCUACACACGUACUACAAUGGCUGUAACAGAGAGAAGCAACACCGCGAGGUAGAGCGAAACUCCAAAAGCAGUCUCAGUUCGGAUUGAAGGCUGAAAUUCGCCUUCAUGAAGCCGGAAUUGCUAGUAAUGGCAGGUCAGCAUACUGCCGUGAAUACGUUCCCGGGCCUUGUACACACCGCCCGUCAAGCCAUGAAAGCCGGGGGUACCUGAAGUGCGUAACCGCAAGGAGCGCCCUAGGGUAAAACUGGUGAUUGGGGCU
rnacentral:rRNA from 1 species